UUCCCACGCCGGGAAUCAAACCCAGGGCUUCUGGGUGAAAGCCAGAUAUCCUAGCCACUAGACCACGUGGGA
rnacentral:tRNA from 1 species